UACAGAGGUCUCAAGCGUUGUUCGGAUUCAUUGGGCGUAAAGCGCGUGUAGGCGGCUUGGUAAGUCCGUUCUGAAAGCCCGGGGCUCAACCCCGGGAGGCGGAUGGAUACUGCUGAGCUCGAGUCCGGAAGAGGCGAGUGGAAUUCCUGGUGUAGCGGUGAAAUGCGCAGAUAUCAGGAGGAACACCAAUGGCGAAGGCAGCUCGCUGGGACGGUACUGACGCUGAGACGCGAAAGCGUGGGGAGCAAACAGG
rnacentral:rRNA from 1 species